rnacentral:rRNA from 1 species
AGAGUUUGAUCAUGGCUCAGGAUGAACGCUAGCGGCAGGCCUAACACAUGCAAGCCGAGGGGUAGCAGGGUAGCAAUACCGCUGACGACCGGCGGACGGGUGAGUAACGCGUACGUAACCUACCUUUAACAGACGGAUAGCCCGGAGAAAUUCGGAUUAAUACGUCGUAAUACAUUUGAAUGGCAUCGUUUGAAUGUUAAAGUUGCGAAAUGGUUAAAGAUGGGCAUGCGUGCCAUUAGCUAGUUGGUGAGGUAACGGCCCACCAAGGCGAUGAUGGCUAGGGGUUCUAAAAGGAUGAUCCCCCACACUGGUACUGAGACACGGACCAGACUCCUACGGGAGGCAGCAGUGAGGAAUAUUGGUCAAUGGGUGCAAGCCUGAACCAGCCAUGCCGCGUGCAGGAUGACUGCCCUAAGGGUUGUAAACUGCUUUUGUACGGGAAGAAAUGCUUUAAAUAUUUAGAGUUUGACGGUACUGUAUGAAUAAGCAUCGGCUAACUCCGUGCCAGCAGCCGCGGUAAUACGGAGGAUGCGAGCGUUAUCCGGAUUUAUUAGGUUUAAAGGGUGCGUAGGCGGACUUAUAAGUCAGUGGUGAAAUACUAUAGCUUAACUAUAGCACUGCCGUUGAUACUGUAGGUCUUGAGUAUAGUCGAGGUAGGCGGAAUGUGUAAUGUAGCGGUGAAAUGCUUAGAUAUUACACAGAACACCGAUCGCGUAGGCAGCUUACUAGGCCUAUACUGACGCUGAUGCACGAAAGCGUGGGGAGCAAACAGGAUUAGAUACCCUGGUAGUCCACGCUGUAAACGAUGAUCACUCGCUGUUGGCGAUACAUAGUCAGUGGCUGAGCGAAAGCAUUAAGUGAUCCACCUGGGGAGUACGGCGGCAACGCUGAAACUCAAAGGAAUUGACGG